rnacentral:lncRNA from 1 species
GGUAAUGGGCUGGUUCCAUCUGCCCCUCUGCUCUGGCGGCUCGAAGGUGGGGAGUGAAAUCCACAGUCCAUGGCUGGCAGCACACACAACUCCAAAACAGAGCCUGGGCCCACUGAGGCCGCCUCACUCCCAUGCACCGCCCCACGUGCAUCUCCAUAAGCAUCUCCUCGAAACCCUCUCUGCUGGUGUUGAGAGAGAUACACUGACGAUUCAUUCGGGAGUGUGUGUCUCAUUACCAUCACUCUGCUCCAUAUGCUAACUUUGGACCCCUGACCGAGAUGUUUCUUUAACAGGCGUAUGUCAGUAGUCUUGCCUUUAAAACCCAAAUAACGAAGGGCAAAAAUACCUGCCCCACCAAAGGCACAAGUCUCUUUCCCUGCUUGCCAAUCAAUCCUGUGAUGGGGAUGCCAGCGCAACACCUUCCACAGGGGCGGUCCCUUUCUGGACCGUCUGAGCGCAAAAUCGCAUCACCAGAACACAUCCAGAAGUCCCAAGACUCCCAAGUUCUACCUAGAAGCUCCUACUGCCAAGUGCUCUCCACUGCACCAUCGCCCCAGUAACAGUGUCCCUUUAGGAGCCCAGCAGCCCCAGGUUCAAGUGGGAUGAGAAGACAGUGAAAUUUAUGUGAUCUGAUGAUGAUAAGUGCUGUGGAGAAAAAUAAACCAGGGAGAGAAGAGAACGUGCUGGGGAGAAGGGGACUCUAGUGAUUUCAAUGUUGAAUAGGAUGGCCAAGAAAGGCCUCUUCCUCUGCUGGUGCUGGACAGCUGAGCAAGACAGAAGGACAGAAAGACAGCAAAUAUCAGGCUAAGAGGAUGUUUGGGGAAGUGUACCCCCACAGAGAACAACUUCAAGGACUCCGAGGCGGAGAGACACAGCCGAACCAGUGCCAGGGGAACAGACGGGCCCAUCAGACCCCAAAGCGAGCAUGCUGUCUCCCGUUCCACAGACACACAUCACCUGGCUCCGACGACCAGCCUGCAGGGCCACUCCCAAGCGUUCUAAGGAACAGGGCACCAGCCUGUCUCAGACCCCAGGCCAGUGUGGGAAGCACAGUCAUUUAACUUACAUGACUCUGGCUUAUUUGGAUUGGGUUUGACAAAAGAGGAAGAGAACAGAACACAUUUUUCUCCUGUCUUUCAAAUUAAGAAAGAAAUACCUAGAACAUUUAAUUAAAUAAAUACAAGAAUAAAAAUUAUGCAGUCCAGUUUCUGCACUAUAAGGUAUAUUUUUGUUUCAGAAAAAGUCUAGUUAAAAAAAAAAAUCUUAGUCAGUGCUCAAUGAUAAGUAAUGGAAUUCCCUGUUGGGCUUGAAUUCUCUCCAAUGUCAAUGGGGCCUUGAUCUGGAUGAGGAUGUUGAAAAAUACCCGGUCCCUCUGAGGGAUGGGGUUUCGGGGGUGGGCAGGGAGGCAGGAGUGGCAGAAGCACCAGGGGCCAUGCUCCAAGGAAAAGCCCAGCCAACACAGCAGGCCAGGGGGGUGGGGAUCCAGGCCAUGUGUGGCAUCUGUCUUGAUCGCAGCACAUGAGCUGGGAGGGGAAUUUGGUCUGGAGUUGUGAGCUGGGACUCAGGCUGUGGCUGUGAAGUCCCAAGCUAAAGGGCUUCGGCUGGGACCCUGACGCUUGCACUCCCCAGUCCCGCAGCACUGGUCUCAAGUGGAAUGUGCUGUCAGUGUAAACACACACAGGGUUCUAAAAAUGUGGUAUGAAAAAAAAUGUCAAUGAUCUCAUUUAUAGUUUUUACACUGGUUAUAUGCUGAAAUAAUA